GAAAUCUGAAGACAGAUUGCUCACAUUUUUGAUGUCAUCUGUGAAGCUAAUGGAGGGCUGCCUAGGACUCUUUCCUCCAUGUCUGGAACAUUUAGAAGAGGAAUUCUUCAUCUGGACAAAGGGAAGAACCUCAGGCACUGUCCCUAGGAAAUUAGGCACCAUUAGCCUCUUCAUACAAAGAAGAGGAGGAUCUGUUGAUUUUGGCUGCUCCACACUCAUGGUGGAAGAAUGGACUUGCAGUAACAGCUUGGCACCGGAGGACCAGCAACAGGAGGCUGAGGCCAUCACUGAUGAUGUCACAAUCCUCCACUGUCCCAGAGCCCAUCCUGAACCUCCCUGCCCAGCCCAGCUUGGUCACUCCUAGGUGAGACCACAGCUCAGCCCAAGGUGGUUUUCCUGGACAGCUGUUUGGUUGCAAAGAAUGAAUUCAUUGAGACCAUAAUGGCUGUGACAGGUCCAUAGAACAGGGGAAAUGUGCCUCUCAGAGUUCGAGGUGCUUCCCUUGACACCUUGGUACCUCACCAAGGUGUUUUCCACAGAUGACAACAGAUGGAUGGGACUAUUCAGUCACCCCCUGCUUUCCUGUCUUAUUCAAUGGGUGGUACAUCAGGCAUAACAAUUUCUCUGGGACUCCUUAUUCUCAAGCACAAAAUGCAAAGAUUACAUUGAAUUACAAUAAAUUUCCAGCAAAC
ensembl:lncRNA